GCGGGCGUCGUUCAAUGGCAGGACCUGAGCUUCCCAAGCUCAAGACGUGGGUUCGAUCCCCAUCGCCCGCUCCA
rnacentral:tRNA from 1 species